AGUGAACGCUGGCGGCAGGCCUAACACAUGCAAGUCGAACGGCAGCACAGUAAGAGCUUGCCCUUACGGGUGGCGAGUGGCGGACGGGUGAGGAAUACAUCGGAAUCUUCUUUUUCGUGGGGGAUAACGUAGGGAAACUUACGCUAAUACCGCAUACGACCUACGGGUGAAAGCAGGGGAUCUUCGGACCUUGCGCGAUCGAAUGAGCCGAUGUCGGAUUAGCUAGUUGGCGGGGUAAAGGCCCACCAAGGCGACGAUCCGUAGCUGGUCUGAGAGGAUGAUCGGCCACACUGGAACUGAGACACGGUCCAGACUCCUACGGGAGGCAGCAGUGGGGAAUAUUGGGCAAUGGGCGCAAGCCCGAUCCAGCCAUCCCGCGUGGGUGAAGAAGGCCUUCGGGUUGUAAAGCCCUUUUGUUGGGAAAGAAAAGCAGCAGGUUAAUACCCCGCUGUUCUGACGGUACCCAAAGAAUAAGCACCGGCUAACUACGCG
rnacentral:rRNA from 1 species